rnacentral:rRNA from 1 species
GAUGAACGCUAGCUACAGGCUUAACACAUGCAAGUCGAGGGGCAGCAUGACGGAAGCUUGCUUCCGUUGAUGGCGACCGGCGCACGGGUGAGUAACGCGGUAUCCAACCUGCCCUUGUCCAUCGGAUAACCCGUCGAAAGGCGGACUAACACGAUAUGCAGUCCACAGCAGGCAUCUAACGUGGACGAAAUGUGAAGGAGAAGGAUGGGGAUGCGUCUGAUUAGCUUGUUGGCGGGGUAACGGCCCACCAAGGCGACGAUCAGUAGGGGUUCUGAGAGGAAGGUCCCCCACAUUGGAACUGAGACACGGUCCAAACGUCCUACGGGAGGCAGCAGUGAGGAAUAUUGGGUCCAAAUUGGGGCGAGAGCCUGAACCAGCCAAGUAGCGUGCAGG